AUUGAACGCUGGCGGCAGGCUUAACACAUGCAAGUCGAGCGGGGAGGUUGCUUCGGUAACUGACCUAGCGGCGGACGGGUGAGUAAUGCUUAGGAAUCUGCCUAUUAGUGGGGGACAGCAUUCCGAAAGGAAUGCUAAUACCGCAUACGCCCUACGGGGGAAAGCAGGGGAUCUUCGGACCUUGCGCUAAUAGAUGAGCCUAAGUCGGAUUAGCUAGUUGGUGGGGUAAAGGCCUACCAAGGCGACGAUCUGUAGCGGGUCUGAGAGGAUGAUCCGCCACACUGGGACUGAGACACGGCCCAGACUCCUACGGGAGGCAGCAGUGGGGAAUAUUGGACAAUGGGCGGAAGCCUGAUCCAGCCAUGCCGCGUGUGUGAAGAAGGCCUUUUGGUUGUAAAGCACUUUAAGCGAGGAGGAGGCUCUUAAGGUUAAUACCCUUGAUGAGUGGACGUUACUCGCAGAAUAAGCACCGGCUAACUCUGUGCCAGCCGCCGCAGUAAUAC
rnacentral:rRNA from 1 species